rnacentral:rRNA from 1 species
AACGAACGCUGGCGGCAGGCCUAACACAUGCAAGUCGAACGCACCGCAAGGUGAGUGGCGCACGGGUGAGUAACACGUGGGAAUGUAACCUUUGGUUUGGAAUAACGUCUGGAAACGGACGCUAAUACCGGAUGAGCCCUUAGGGGGAAAGAUUUAUCGCCGAAGGAGCAGCCCGCGUCUGAUUAGGUAGUUGGUGGGGUAAAGGCCUACCAAGCCGACGAUCAGUAGCUGGUCUGAGAGGAUGAUCAGCCACACUGGGACUGAGACACGGCCCAGACUCCUACGGGAGGCAGCAGUGGGGAAUAUUGGACAAUGGGCGCAAGCCUGAUCCAGCCAUGCCGCGUGAGUGAUGAAGGCCUUCGGGUUGUAAAGCUCUUUCGCACACGACGAUGAUGACGGUAGUGUGAGAAGAAGCCCCGGCUAACUUCGUGCCAGCAGCCGCCGUAA